GUGUCUGACUCUGUGCGACCCCAUAGACGGCAGCCCACCAGGCUCCGUGGCCCCUGGGAUUCUCCAGGCAAGAACACCAGAGUGGGUUGCCAUUUCCUUCUCCCAUCUGAGAGCUACAUUUUACUUAUUCAGAAAUACUAGUAAGACCAGUGUUCCGACUGUCUGGACAGCCAGACCCUGACCGGGCUCACUGGAGGGACAAACCAACUCACCAGGAAUGGCCACAGAAUCGGGUAAGGCCCUGGGGCCAGUCCCCAGUCAGAUCUACCCAAAUGGAUAGAAGAGGAGACUGAUCACCUCCUUGGAGUUCCCAGGACUGGAGCAACAGUUAAGGAAACCUAGGAACUCAGGAGAAGGGAGGCACUGUGAUAGCCUCUGAAUGACUGUGAGUGUGUGAUUGCUAAUUGAAGGAGUGAGAGAAAAUUUUCUUUUUGGAAACUGAAAAACCAAUUCUUUUCGCAUAUGCAA